CCUCUGAGGCCCGUAGCACCCCUUGAAUAGUCAGUUCAGCCAGGGCAGGCCUGAACAAUCCUCCUGGGAAAUGGUGUUUGCUACUAGCAAGGCAUCUAUCUAUGUGCUUGAUCAUAUAGUAUCCUCAAAUUCAUCACUAUGAGAGAUUCAAUUGUUCUUCUUUCCAAAUAACAUAUAUUUCAGAGAUUUUGAGAACUCCAUCAAGAAUUUUCCAAUUUGGUUUUAUCCUGAAGGAGAUUUAUCAUUUUUAGGAAGUUCAGAGCUUGAAUCUUGAAGACUGCAUUAGUCUUCUGCAGCUGCCAUAAUGAAAUACCACAGACAGACAGGUUUAAACAAUAAAAAUUUAUUUCUCAUAGAUUUAGAGGCUGGGAAGUCCAAGAUCAAGGUACUGGUAAGGCAGGUUUCAUUCUGAGGCCUCCUCCCUUGGCUUGCAGGCUGCCACCAUCUCACUGUGGACUCUUGUGACCUCUCCUUUGUGCUUAUCCAAGUGGGGAGAGGGAGAGAAAGAGCAAGCUCUCUGGUGUCUCUUCUUACAAGGGCACUAAACCUGCCAGAUCAGGGCCCCACUCUUAUGACCUCAUUUAACUGUAAUUACCUCUUUAUAGGCCCUAUCUUCAAUACAGCCACACUGGAGGUUAGGGCUUCAAAAUAUGAAGUGGGGGGAAUGCGAUUCAGACCCUGUCAAAAACCUUGUUUCAUACUGGCAGCCGAGAGUUCUGGGAAAUGAAGGGAAGGAUGAAAUAUAAUGUUACCACACAACACCAGUGUGUUUUACCAUCCUUCUCGGGUUUGAAUGAUCGCUUCCUUUAUUUUCCAUCUUGUUAUUCCUAAUGUUCUUUGUUCUAUGCUGGCAAAUAGGAAAUCCCGGGCCAGAGCUUUAGUUAAGAAGGGAUAUAAAGGACUCGGGGAAGGCUCAGAGUCUAAGAGAUUCAAGACCAUGCACAUUUUAAGAUGAAUAUAUAUUCACUCUUGUAACAGUGGAUGAAUGCAGGGAGCACCACGGAGCACCUCAAUAUUGUGCAUGCCAAACAGAUCAUUCAAAUCAAUGGGCUGCUGAGACUUGAUAUUAGAAAGUAACUGUUACUUAUAUGGUCACAUUUCAAAUUUUCAUUUUCAUUAGAACAGCUUCAUUGUUUUUGUGUGGUUGGUAGGUUCUGUAAAUUUAAAAGAUGUAUUAAUACACAUUUUUAAUAAAUUGAGAUGCACAUUUUAUUUAUAAAUCAUAUCUUUUACAAAAUAAACUUAUGCUAGUAAAAUAAGCACUAAGUUUUUCUUUUUCUUUGAAAAAGAACUUGCUUCCAGUUGUUAAUAGUCUAAAGUGCCAUAUUAUUAAAAUGGCAUACAUUACUAAUUUGCCAAAAACAAAUCUCAUUCUUGCCCCAUUUUAGUUUUGCUCUUCACUCACGAAAGUUGGUCUGUAUGAGAUCAGUGUGGACCUUAGCAAAACUAAUCAUUUUCACUGGAUCACUAUUCUCUCUGUUAUAUACAUUAUUCCCACCAACCCCUUCAAUAGUAUCUUGGAUUUCAGUGGCAAUGUGUUUUCUAGUUUAAUCCUUAUCUCUCUGAUCAUCUGUUUCCUUCACUAACAUCCAGGGUAUUCCUCUGACCAUUCAUACAUCAAAUAUUAAUAGAUGGUAUAUGUGCCAGGAAUUUACUGAUGCAUUAAUAUAAAUCUCUGAACCCACUUAACAGCAUAAAACUACCAUUUUAUUUGAUUUAUGAUUGGAGCUAAGGUGUCCACGAAGGGCUCGACUUGGUGAUUUAUCUUUAAUAUUUGACAUCAGCUUGGAUUGCUAGGGCA
ensembl:lncRNA